GUGCUCGCUUCAGCAGCACAUAUACUAAAAUUGGAACAAUACAGAUAAGGUUAGCAUGGCCCCUGUGCAAGGAUGACAUGCAAAUUCAUGAAGCAUUUCCUAUUAAA
rnacentral:snRNA from 1 species